rnacentral:rRNA from 1 species
CGGACGGGUGAGUAAUGUCUGGGAAACUGCCCGAUGGAGGGGGAUAACUACUGGAAACGGUAGCUAAUACCGCAUAACGUCGCAAGACCAAGAGGGGACCUUCGGGCCUCUUGCCAUCGGAUGUGCCCAGAUGGGAUUAGCUAGUAGGUGGGGUAAUGGCUCACCUAGGCGACGAUCCCUAGCUGGUCUGAGAGGAUGACCAGCCACACUGGAACUGAGACACGGUCCAG